UACGUAGGGGGCAAGCGUUGUCCGGAUUUAUUGGGCGUAAAGAGCGUGUAGGCGGCCAGGUAGGUCCGUUGUGAAAACUCGAGGCUCAACCUCGAGACGCCGGUGGAAACCGUAAAGCUAGAGUCCGGAAGAGGAGAGUGGAAUUCCUGGUGUAGCGGUGAAAUGCGCAGAUAUCAGGAGGAACACCGGUGGCGAAGGCGGAUCUCUGGGCCAUUACUGACGCUGAGGAGCGAAAGCGUGGGGAGCGAACAGG
rnacentral:rRNA from 1 species